CUCAGUCACCUAAGCUGGAGCUGGAUAGCAUCUCGCUCAGUCACCUAAACUGGUGGUGUAAUGAUAGCUCACUACAGCCUUAAGCUUCUGGACUCAAGGGAUCCUCCCACCUCAGCCUCCCAAGUAGCUGGGACUACAGCUGCACCCCACCAUGCUGGCUGGAAUCAUAGCCUUUGGCAUCCAAGAGAAUGCUGCUGAGGGGAACAUCACCAUUGAUGGCAUCUACCUCCAUGUGCCAGGCACCAUGAUGAAAAAUCCCUGGGAAAUGAAUACAGCUAGGAUUCAGGCUUUGGCCUGUUGAGCCUGAACAAGCAUGGUGUUCCCAUUGAGCUUACCCUGAAGACGUGACGUGGACAGCACCUACACUCACAUGGCCACUCUGGGUCCCUCCCAUGCACACGGUGAGAGCUGGGAGAAGCGGGCGCUACUGCACAUGAACAUGCCCAUCCAUCCAUACGUGAAAUAUGCAUUUGGAUUGCAUACCCAGAAGCCAGCUUGACCUCCCUUCUCCCUGGCCACCCACAGUGGCGUAGCCUGGCCCCCUCUCCAGUCUGACCCUUGCCCCCACCGCCUCCUUCUGGUGACUCCCAGAGAUGCUCCAGUUUGUCAUGAUGCUUCCAGGCCCUCCUGCUCCUGACAAAGGCUAAGAAGAACGGCUGAUGGGACUCCCAUACACUCCACAGUCGGGGGAGAAGUCUUGGCAGCCCCAACCCUGCCCAAGAGACCGGCUCUGGCUGCCGCGUCCCGUCCCGCAGCCUCCCGCAUGCAGGCGUUCAGCUCAGU